rnacentral:rRNA from 2 species
GUGUGCCUAAUACAUGCAAGUCGUACGCACUGGCCCAACUGAUUGAUGGUGCUUGCACCUGAUUGACGAUGGAUCACCAGUGAGUGGCGGACGGGUGAGUAACACGUAGGUAACCUGCCCCGGAGCGGGGGAUAACAUUUGGAAACAGAUGCUAAUACCGCAUAACAGCAAAAGCCACAUGGCUUUUGCUUGAAAGAUGGCUUUGGCUAUCACUCUGGGAUGGACCUGCGGUGCAUUAGCUAGUUGGUAAGGUAACGGCUUACCAAGGCGAUGAUGCAUAGCCGAGUUGAGAGACUGAUCGGCCACAAUGGAACUGAGACACGGUCCAUACUCCUACGGGAGGCAGCAGUAGGGAAUCUUCCACAAUGGGCGCAAGCCUGAUGGAGCAACACCGCGUGAGUGAAGAAGGGUUUCGGCUCGUAAAGCUCUGUUGUUGGAGAAGAACGUGCGUGAGAGUAACUGUUCACGCAGUGACGGUAUCCAACCAGAAAGUCACGGCUAACUACGUGCCAGCAGCCGCGGUAAUACGUAGGUGGCAAGCGUUAUUCGGAUUUAUUGGGCGUAAAGCGAGCGCAGGCGGUUGCUUAGGUCUGAUGUGAAAGCCUUCGGCUUAACCGAAGAAGUGCAUCGGAAACCGGGCGACUUGAGUGCAGAAGAGGACAGUGGAACUCCAUGUGUAGCGGUGGAAUGCGUAGAUAUAUGGAAGAACACCAGUGGCGAAGGCGGCUGUCUGGUCUGCAACUGACGCUGAGGCUCGAAAGCAUGGGUAGCGAACAGGAUUAGAUACCCUGGUAGUCCAUGCCGUAAACGAUGAGUGCUAGGUGUUGGAGGGUUUCCGCCCUUCAGUGCCGGAGCUAACGCAUUAAGCACUCCGCCUGGGGAGUACGACCGCAAGGUUGAAACUCAAAGGAAUUGACGGGGGCCCGCACAAGCGGUGGAGCAUGUGGUUUAAUUCGAAGCUACGCGAAGAACCUUACCAGGUCUUGACAUCUUGCGCUAACCUUAGAGAUAAGGCGUUCCCUUCGGGGACGCAAUGACAGGUGGUGCAUGGUCGUCGUCAGCUCGUGUCGUGAGAUGUUGGGUUAAGUCCCGCAACGAGCGCAACCCUUGUUACUAGUUGCCAGCAUUAAGUUGGGCACUCUAGUGAGACUGCCGGUGACAAACCGGAGGAAGGUGGGGACGACGUCAGAUCAUCAUGCCCCUUAUGACCUGGGCUACACACGUGCUACAAUGGACGGUACAACGAGUCGCAAGCUCGCGAGAGUAAGCUAAUCUCUUAAAGCCGUUCUCAGUUCGGACUGUAGGCUGCAACUCGCCUACACGAAGUCGGAAUCGCUAGUAAUCGCGGAUCAGCAUGCCGCGGUGAAUACGUUCCCGGGCCUUGUACACACCGCCCGUCACACCAUGGGAGUUUGUAACGCCCAAAGUCGGUGGCCUAACCUUUAUGGAGGGAGCCGCCUAAGGCGGG